AGUGAACGCUGGCGGUAGGCCUAACACAUGCAAGUCGAACGGCAGCACAGUAAGAGCUUGCUCUUACGGGUGGCGAGUGGCGGACGGGUGAGGAAUACAUCGGAAUCUACUUUUUCGUGGGGGAUAACGUAGGGAAACUUACGCUAAUACCGCAUACGACCUACGGGUGAAAGCAGGGGAUCUUCGGACCUUGCGCGAGUGAAUGAGCCGAUGGCGGAUUAGCUAGUUGGCGGGGUAAAGGCCCACCAAGGCGACGAUCCGUAGCUGGUCUGAGAGGAUGAUCAGCCACACUGGAACUGGGACACGGUCCAGACUCCUACGGGAGGCAGCAGUGGGGAAUAUUGGACAAUGGGCGCAAGCCUGAUCCAGCCAUACCGCGUGGGUGAAGAAGGCCUUCGGGUUGUAAAGCCCUUUUGUUGGGAAAGAAAAGCAGCAGGUUAAUACCCCGCUGCUCUGACGGUACCCAAAGAAUAAGCACCGGCUAACUUCGUG
rnacentral:rRNA from 1 species